UCUUACAAGAUUAUGUAUGCA
rnacentral:piRNA from 1 species